rfam:Arabidopsis thaliana chromosome 3, complete sequence.
AAGAAUAAUGAGAAAGACGAUGAGGAAUUAAAAAGUUUCGGUGAUGUGAAAAACUCAGGUGAAGAAGACGAGUUGAAAAAUUUGGCCCUCUUUUUUGUCCUUUGAUGAUGAUGACAU